rnacentral:tRNA from 1 species
UGAGUGUAGUUUAACAAAAACUCUGGGCCGUGACCCCAAAAAUAAAGCAGCGCCUUUCAUUCACCGAA